GUAAUUUGGGGCUUCUCACCUGUCUAGGUGAGCUCUGAUACUAGAGCAUAUUUAAAACAUAGAGUGGAAUAAGGAUUCUCAGCUUUGGGAGCUGAAGAAACUUUUUUUUUUAUAUUCUAGCAUAUGCAGAACUUCAUGCUGAGGAGAAUUUUAUAGAUGUAUUGGUGCUGGUUCAGGUGCAUGAUCUGAAGCAUAUACAAGAAACCACAGGAAAAGAGACCUGGUUCUUGCCUAAAAAACCCCGGGUCUCUCAGCUGCUCCUCAUCAGACUCAUGAUCCAGACCCUUCCUGGGCUCCAUUGUCCUUCUCUGGAAUAUUCGGGAACUACCACAAUUCCUUCUCUGACAAGAUAACUUUUAUUUUAGACCUUUGUCCCCAUGAAUAAACGUAACAUAUCAGUCUCUC